CCUACGGGGGGCUGCAGUGGGGAAUAUUGGACAAUGGGGGCAACCCUGAUCCAGCCAUGCCGCGUGUGUGAAGAAGGCCCUCGGGUUGUAAAGCACUUUCAGUGAGGAAGAACGCCUGGUGGUUAAUACCCAUCAGGAAAGACAUCACUCACAGAAGAAGCACCGGCUAACUCCGUGCCAGCAGCCGCGGUAAUACGGAGGGUGCGAGCGUUAAUCGGAAUUACUGGGCGUAAAGCGCGCGUAGGUGGCUUGAUAAGCCGGUUGUGAAAGCCCCGGGCUCAACCUGGGAACGGCAUCCGGAACUGUCAAGCUAGAGUGCAGGAGAGGAAAGUAGAAUUCCCGGUGUAGCGGUGAAAUGCGUAGAGAUCGGGAGGAAUACCAGUGGCGAAGGCGGCCUACUGGACUGACACUGACACUGAGGUGCGAAAGCGUGGGUAGCAAACAGGAUUAGAUACCCUAGUAGUC
rnacentral:rRNA from 1 species